UCGGUUAGCGGACGUCGCGACCCGUUGGGCGCCGGCCGAAUGGCCCGGGUGACGUUCGUCGCGUCGGUCGCGUUUCGGCGUGACCGUUCGCGCCGAGCCCCGGUGCUCAUGGUCGGCUCGCCCGACGGCAAGAACCGUCGACGCGGCCCCGUCGCAGGCGGGGUCCCGUCGGUCGGCGACGUGUUUCGAGCUACUUUCCGACCCGUCUUGAAACACGGACCAAGGAGUCUAACGUGUGCGCGAGUCAACGGUGAUCUUACGAAAAACCACGUUUGGCGCAAUGAAAGUGAACCGUUUACGGUGCGGACGAUGGCCUAGCGACCGAACCCACCGGCGUUCAAAGUCGCGCUGGUCCGCAGUCCGGGGGCGUCUCCGCCAAGUCGGCUUCGGCCGGCUGGGGGCGCACCCUUAGCGCACACGUUGGUACCCGAAAGAUGGUGAACUAUGCCUGGCCAGGAUGAAGUCAGGGGAAACCCUGAUGGAGGUCCGCAGCGAUUCUGACGUGCAAAUCGAUCGUCUGAGCUGGGUAUAGGGGCGAAAGACUAAUCGAACCAUCUAGUAGCUGGUUCCAUCCGAAGUUUCCCUCAGGAUAGCUGGCGCCGAUGUGUCCCGCCCGUUCGCGGGCGUACGGACGCCGGUGGGACUCCGCGCUGUACGGCGCGGUAACAACACGCUCGUAACACGGAGGAUGUCUCAUACGGUAAAGCGAAUGAUUAGAGGACAUUGGGGCCGAAACGACCUCAACCUAUUCUCAAACUAUAAAUGAGUGAGAUCGCCGGCUUUACCUGGUACACCGCGUGAACCGCGUGCGAAGCCGGCGACGGAACCCUAGGCGCUUAGUGGGCCAUUUUUGGUAAGCAGAACUGGCGCUGCGGGAUGAACCGAACGCCGAGUUAAGGCGCCGAAAUCGACGCGUAUUCAGAGACCAUGAAAGGCGUUGGUUGCUGAUGACAGCAGGACGGUGGCCAUGGAAGUCGGAAUCCGCUAAGGAGUGUGUAACAACUCACCUGCCGAAGCAACUAGCUCUGAAAAUGGAUGGCGCUGGAGCGUCGUGCCUAUACUCGGCCGUCGACGGCAUAGUGGGGCCAGUCGUCGCUCGCGGCGGCCGGUCCCGGCAAGCCUCGAUGAGUAGGAUGGCGCGGCGGUGAGCAUCGAAGGGCAGGUCGCGAGACCGCCUGGAGCCGCCGUCGGUGCAGAUCUUGGUGGUAGUAGCAAAUACUCGAGAGGGGCCCUCGGGGGCUGCCGUGGAGAAGGGUUUCUUGUGAACAGCCGUUGUCCAAGAGUCAGUCGAUCCUAAGCCCCGGGAGAGAUCCUCGUACCACGGGCGAAGGCGUUUUCGAACCGCCCUUGGGGGCGAGAGGGAAUCCGGUUCGUAUUCCGGAACCCGACGUGGAACCGUUCCCUAGUGUUCGGGGCUCUUUUGUCUCGUCUGGGUAACCGGAAUGAACUCGAAGAAGCCGCCGGGGGAUCUGGGUAGAGUUCUCUUUUCUCUGUGAGCGUUGUACGUCCCUGGAAUCCUCUAGCCGG
rnacentral:ncRNA from 1 species